GACGAACGCUGGCGGCGUGCUUAACACAUGCAAGUCGAACGGAAAGGCCCUGCUUUUGUGGGGUGCUCGAGUGGCGAACGGGUGAGUAACACGUGAGUAACCUGCCCUUGACUUUGGGAUAACUUCAGGAAACUGGGUCUAAUACCGGAUAGGAGCUCCUACUGCAUGGUGGGGGUUGGAAAGUUUCGGCGGUUGGGGAUGGACUCGCGGCUUAUCAGCUUGUUGGUGGGGUAGUGGCUUACCAAGGCUUUGACGGGUAGCCGGCCUGAGAGGGUGACCGGCCACAUUGGGCCUGAGAUACGGACCAGACUCCUACGGGAGGCAGCAGUGGGGAAUAUUGCACAAUGGGCGGAAGCCUGAUGCAGCAACGCCGCGUGCGGGAUGACGGCUUUCGGGUUGUAAACCGCUUUCGCCUGUGACGAAGCGUGAGUGACGGUAAUGUGUAAAGAAGCACCGGCUAACUACGUG
rnacentral:rRNA from 1 species